rnacentral:rRNA from 1 species
GACGAACGCUGGCGGCGUGCCUAACACAUGCAAGUCGUGCGAGAAAGUUCCUUCGGGAGCGAGUAAAAGCGGCGCACGGGUGAGUAACACGUAGGUAACCUGCCCCCCAGUCUGGAACAACUAGAGGAAACUCUAGCUAAUGCCGGAUGAGACCACGAUCCCUUCGGGGGUUGCGGCCAAAGAUGGCCUCUACUUGUAAGCUAUCGCUGAGGGAUGGGCCUGCGGGCCAUUAGCUUGUUGGUGAGGUAACGGCUCACCAAGGCUGUGAUGGCUAGCUGGUCUGAGAGGAUGACCAGCCACACUGGGACUGAGACACGGCCCAGACUCCUACGGGAGGCAGCAGUGGGGAAUAUUGCGCAAUGGGCGAAGCCUGACGCAGCGACGCCGCGUGGGUG